GCUUUAAGGUUUAGGUUCCUGCCCACACCAGAGGCCACUUGCAGCCAGCAUCAGACCAAUGCCAUCUUUUGGGAUGGCAAAUGGCUGCUUAGGACCUCUGCAGUGGGCACUAGUAAGGGAAACCUUGAAAAGAUAAAAAAAAGGAGAAAGCUACAUCAUUAAAAACUGCCGGGUUACGGACUCUGGCUUUCUCAAUUUCUUGAGAGACAGCAAAAUUUUCCUGUCGAGCAAAAUAGAAGUGCCACAGGACCAAAUAGAACAGGGGGAAGCCAUGUUGUUCCCCAUCUCACCUCUGGUGGCUGUAGAGGACCUCGCCAAUUCAGCCCCAGAGCUGUUUUCCCUAAGUGGAAAAAUUGUAAGAUUGAGCCAAAUCAUGUGUAGAGGGGACAAUGUGCCAUUGCGGGAGAUCACAAUAAAUAAUUCCAUGGGAGAAGAGGUCCAACUUGCUAUGUGGAGGGAGUGUGCUCUCGAAAAACCUGAGCUGAACAGGCAUUAUACAUUCAGCCACCUCCGUAUGAAGGAUUAUUUAUCAUACGGCAGAAAAUGCUGCUCCACUGUUCACACCAGGAUAACUGUAAGUUGCUUUCUUAAAAGGUUUGAUCUUUGUUUUGAAAACUGAAUGUAUGUACUUCUCUUAUUUACUUCUCCCUCAUUUAAAUCCAGUGUCGGUAACCCAUACUGUACAUUUUUUUACCUUCUAUCUUCAGGUGGCUGACAAUGAAGAACAGGUGCAGGUAGAGGUGAAAGGGCUAGGGGAAGAAAACGGUUGUCUGCUCCUGGUCACCGAAAUGGGAAAAGAGGUUUCCAUUCCCAAGGAAGUGUGGAAUGGAGUAAUUCCUUGAGUUAUCGAAACACCUCCCCUUUUCAGUACAUGUGUUUAUGAAAGAAGGGGAGGUGUUCCGAGUCAAUGGACUGCCUGGAUCAGAAGAAUGUAAGUCUUUUUAAAAAAAUUUAAUAUAGUUUAGUAAAAUACAUUGAUUGUUGUUAGUCAUAUGAACCCAUUUUUUGAUUUCUUCAGAAAAGAAGACCUGCCAUCCACCUACACCUGUACCUGUUCAUGUUCUGUAAAUCUUCAAACAUAUUAUAUAUACACAUACAUGCAUGCAUGACACACACAGAUGCACACUUUACAUUUUUUCUGUCUUUUUCUGAAUUGUAUAAAUAAAGUAAUUUUCUUGUAAAUUAUCA
rnacentral:lncRNA from 1 species